rnacentral:rRNA from 1 species
AUGCUGGCGGGAUUGGGACAAGCCCAUCCCUCCAUUUCGUUUCCUCAAUUUUCGGGCGAAAAUCCGAACAUGUGGAAAACGAUGUGUGAACAAUACUUUUCCAUGUUUGGUAUUCACAAAACAUUUUGGGUUCCCAUGGCCACACUCAAUUUCUCAGGGGCCGCGGCCAUUUGGCUGCAAUCAAUCCAAAAGAAGCUCAAUAGCUUUGAUUGGGAGUCCUUCUCUGCACUGUUAACUACAUGUUUCGGUCGCGAUCGCCACCAACUGCUCAUUCGGCAAUUUUACACCAUUAAGAAGACAUCCACUGUAGCUGAUUUCAUCGAGCGCUUUGAAUUAGUCAUUAAUCAUUUGAGCUCUUAUUCCGAUUCGAUUCACCCAUUUUAUUUUCUCACCCGUUUUGUGGAAGGAUUACGAGCGGAUAUACCGAGCAGUGGUCAUGGUGUAACGACCGCCUGA